GCCCCAGUAGCUUACCCUUUAAUUAAAGCCCUGGUCUUGUAAACCAAAGACGGACCCCCUGUCCCUGGGACA
rnacentral:tRNA from 1 species